UCAUCGUCAUCGAAUGCCUGUGGUUGGCCU
rnacentral:piRNA from 1 species